rnacentral:lncRNA from 1 species
GUCCAGUCUUCCUGUUGAGAAGCAAGUUGCUCACUUUCAUGCUUCUGAAGCAUGUUCACCACCAGUGACCAGAGGAAGAAGUGCAGUGCUUCGUUUGUAAUUCCUUCUGUUAACUGGGCGAUCCAAACGUCCCUGGUGGGCAGGCAGAGCAGAAGAGGUGGAUGAAAAGCUUGGAAGAAUUUCUGUCAGGACUGAAUGUGUUAAAGGCAUAACUGGAAAUCCACAAAAGAAGUUCAAGUGAUGAAGGAAAAUGAGCAAGUGUACAAAUUCACCAAUGACUAUGCCAAAGGAAAUUAAAGCAACUGGAAGUGAGCAGCCCAUUUGAAGAUGAGUAACAAUGAAGUAUAUCUAAAGAAAAUGGAUGUUUUAACAAGUUUUGACAUCCCGAAAAUGAUGGACAUUUUACGUACAGCUGACUGGAGUGGGUAAGGAUGAAGUUAAGAAAAACGUAACCUGAAAUAAUGUGAAUUGUUUUUUUUCCUGUGGUGGUAAUGAUGAUGACGGAAUUUUAAGAAAAGUGUCAACUUUAUAUUAAAAGAAAAAAACCAAAAUUGUGCAGCUUCUAUGGAAAAUAGUAUGUUGAUUUUUUUAAACAUGAAACAUAGACUUAUACAAUCUAGCAAUUCCACGUCUGGGAAUAUACCUAAGAUAAUGGAAAGCAGGGUCUUGAGUAGAUAUUUGUACACUCAUGUUCAUGGCAGUAUUAUUUAAAAUAGCCAAAAGGUGGAUUGAUGGAUAAGUGAAUACACAAAAUGUGGUCUAUACAUAACAUGGAAUAUUAUUCAGCCCGAAAAAGGAAGGAAAUUCUGACAUUCGCUACAACAUAAGUGAACCUUGAGUACAUGAUGCUGUGUGAAAUGAGGCAGUCACCAAAGGACUAAUGCUACAUGAUCCCACUUAUAUGAGGUACUACGGCAGUCAACUUCAUAGAGAAUAAAAGUAGAAUGGUGGCUGCCAGCUGUGGGUAGCGGGGAGAAUGGGAAAGUUAGUGUUCAUUGGGGACAGAGUUACAAUUUGGCAAGAUGAAAAGACUCUUGGAGAUGGGAGGUGGUGAUGGUUGCACAACAAUAUCGAUGUGCUUAAUGCCACUGAACUGCACAGUUAAAAAUGGUUAAGAUGGAACAUUUUAUGUGUAUGUUACUACAAUUAAAAAUAAUUUUAAAAAGAAAAAUAAAAAAACAAAUUGGGCUAGUUUAAAGCUAUUUAAGGUGUGGU